UACGUAGGGAGCAAGCGUUGUCCGGAAUCAUUGGGCGUAAAGCGCGCGUAGGUGGCCAUGUAAGUCCGCUGUGAAAGUCAAAGGCUCAACCUUUGAAAGCCGGUGGAUACUGCAUGGCUAGAGUACGGAAGAGGCGAGUGGAAUUCCCUGGUGUAGCGGUGAAAUGCGCAGAUAUCAGGAGGAACACCGAUUGCGAAGGCAGCUCGCUGGGACGUAACUGACGCUGAGACGCGAAAGCGUGGGGAGCAAACAGGAUUAGAAACCCC
rnacentral:rRNA from 1 species